ensembl:lncRNA
CUACUUUUGUGCCAUUUGGGAUACAGGCCAUAUCAUGUGCUGGCUGUCGGGUGAGUUGGUUUGUGUUGGAGGCUGUUGAGGCUAAAGGUUGUGGAGGCUGUUGAGGCUGGGGGCCAGCCUGGACCUGAUUGUGUGUGUUGUAUAUCCUGUAGUCUGUUCAUUGUCUUACGUCAGAGAGCACACCGAUUCCACCUGCAACCAUCGGAUGAGGGACGAGCCUCGCGUAGAAGUGACGCCACCUGACGUAAGACAAUGGUACAACUCUGACGCAGCUGACCAUAGGUCAGGGCCCGGUUAGUUACGGUGAGGCAGAGCAGACCAUAGGUCAGAGCCCGGUUAGUUACAGUAACUCAGAGCAGACCAUAGGUCAGGACCCGGUUAGUUACUGUAACUCAGAGCAGACCAUAGGUCAGGACCCGGUUAGUUACAGUAACUCAGAGCAGACCAUAGGUCAGGACCCGGUUAGUUAUGGUAAGGCAGAGCAGACCAUAGGUCAGGAUCCGGUUAGUUACGGUAACUCAGAGCAGACCAUAGGUCAGGAACCGGUUAGUUACGGUAACUCAGAGCAGACCAUAGGUCAGAGCCCGGUUAGUUACAGUAACUCAGAGCAGACCAUAGGUCAGAGCCCGGUUAGUUACGGUAACUCAGAGCAGACCAUAGGUCAGUACCCGGUUAGUUACGGUAACUCAGAGCAGACCAUAGGUCAGGACCCGGUUACUUACGGUAACUCAGAGAUGGCUCUCCAUUCACACUGUAUAGAGAUCUAGCAUGUCUGUCC